CUCACUCGGCGGGCUACAUGCAUGCGUCUUACACGCGGCAGGUGUCUGGCGCCUCUCAGCAGAUCACGAACAGGGUGACAGUCUCAUAGUGCGAUCGGUUCGUACCACUGACAGCUAGGCAUAUGAGUAGCUAUGUUCAGCAGUCUUGUUACUGCUGCACCACUAUUCCAUGAAGGCAAGCAAAUGCUGACUGCUCCAUCCAGGAGCAUCCCGGCCCCGAGUAACAAGGAUGGCUUUUAGGCUGAGUAAAUUUUUAUUGUCAAUUGCAGC
rnacentral:lncRNA from 1 species